rnacentral:sRNA from 1 species
AAUGUUGAACAACUGGAGAACAUGCUAGAAGAAACAAGGUC